AGUAAUGUCUGGGAAACUGCCUGAUGGAGGGGGAUAACUACUGGAAACGGUAGCUAAUACCGCAUAACGUCGCAAGACCAAAGAGGGGGACCUUCGGGCCUCUUGCCAUCAGAUGUGCCCAGAUGGGAUUAGCUAGUAGGUGGGGUAACGGCUCACCUAGGCGACGAUCCCUAGCUGGUCUGAGAGGAUGACCAGCCACACUGGAACUGAGACACGGUCCAGACUCCUACGGGAGGCAGCAGUGGGGAAUAUUGCACAAUGGGCGCAAGCCUGAUGCAGCCAUGCCGCGUGUAUGAAGAAGGCCUUCGGGUUGUAAAGUACUUUCAGCGGGGAGGAAGGUGUUGUGGUUAAUAACCACAGCAAUUGACGUUACCCGCAGAAGAAGCACCGGCUAACUCCGUGCCAGCAGCCGCGGGUAAUACGGAGGGUGCAAGCGUUAAUCGGAAUUACUGGGCGUAAAGCGCACGCAGGCGGUCUGUCAAGUCGGAUGUGAAAUCCCCGGGCUCAACCUGGGAACUGCAUUCGAAACUGGCAGGCUAGAGUCUUGUAGAGGGGGGGUAGAAUUCCAGGUGUAGCGGUGAAAUGCGUAGAGAUCUGGAGGAAUACCGGUGGCGAAGGCGGCCCCCUGGACAAAGACUGACGCUCAGGUGCGAAAGCGUGGGGAGCAAACAGGAUUAGAUACCCUGGUAGUCCACGCCGUAAACGAUGUCGACUUGGAGGUUGUGCCCUUGAGGCGUGGCUUCCGGAGCUAACGCGUUAAGUCGACCGCCUGGGGGAGUACGGCCGCAAGGUUAAAAACUCAAAUGAAUUGACGGGGGGGCCCGCACAAGCGGUGGAGCAUGUGGUUUUAAAUUCGAUGCAACGCGAAGAACCUUACCUACUCUUGACAUCCAGAGAACUUUCCAGAGAUGGAUUGGUGCCUUCGGGAACUCUGAGACAGGUGCUGCAUGGCUGUCGUCAGCUCGUGUUGUGAAAUGUUGGGUUAAGUCCCGCAACGAGCGCAACCCUUAUCCUUUGUUGCCAGCGGUCCGGCCGGGAACUCAAAGGAGACUGCCAGUGAUAAACUGGAGGAAGGUGGGGAUGACGUCAAGUCAUCAUGGCCCUUACGAGUAGGGCUACACACGUGCUACAAUGGCGCAUACAAAGAGAAGCGACCUCGCGAGAGCAAGCGGACCUCAUAAAGUGCGUCGUAGUCCGGAUUGGAGUCUGCAACUCGACUCCAUGAAGUCGGAAUCGCUAGUAAUCGUAGAUCAGAAUGCUACGGUGAAUACGUUCCCGGGCCUUGUACACACC
rnacentral:rRNA from 1 species